AACGCACAUUGCGCCCUUUGGUAUUCCGAAGGGCAUGCCUGUUCGAGCGUCAUUAGUACCAAAUCAAGCUCGGCUUGGUGUUGGAGCUCGCCGUUAGGCGGCUCUUAAACUCAGUGGCAGUGCUGCCGGGCUCUAAGCGUAGUAACUUUCUCGCUAUAGGGUCCCGGGAGACACCCGCCAGAACUCUUAUAUAACUGGUUGACCUCGGAUCAGGUAGGGAUACCCGCUGAACUUAA
rnacentral:misc_RNA from 1 species